CCUACGGGGGGCAGCAGUGGGGAAUAUUGCACAAUGGGGGAAACCCUGAUGCAGCGACGCCGCGUGAGUGAAGAAGUAUCUCGGUAUGUAAAGCUCUAUCAGCAGGGAAGAAAAUGACGGUACCUGACUAAGAAGCCCCGGCUAACUACGUGCCAGCAGCCGCGGUAAUACGUAGGGGGCAAGCGUUAUCCGGAUUUACUGGGUGUAAAGGGAGCGUAGACGGCGCUGCAAGUCCGGAGUGAAAGCCCAUGGCUUAACCAUGGUACUGCUCUGGAAACUGUGGAGCUUGAGUGCGGGAGGGGCAG
rnacentral:rRNA from 1 species